GACGUAGGGCGCGAGCGUUGUCCGGAUUUAUUGGGCGUAAAGAGCUCGUAGGCGGCUUUGUCGCGUCGUCCGUGAAAACCUGCAGCUCAACUGCAGGCUUGCGGUCGAUACGGGCAGGCUAGAGUUCGGUAGGGGGAGACUGGAAUUCCUGGUGUAGCGGUGAAAUGCGCAGAUAUCAGGAGGAACACCGGUGGCGAAGGCGGGUCUCUGGGCCGAUACUGACGCUGAGGAGCGAAAAGCGUGGGGGAGCGAACAGG
rnacentral:rRNA from 1 species